UAGAGCAGGAGGGUAUGCUGCCUAUCAUUUUGUUAACUCUGAACUCAUGUUUUUCAGGUGAAGAAAUUAAAUAUCACCAACCUGAAAGCAACCCAGGUGUCCAACAACAGAUGAAUGACUUAGAAAGUUGUGCUAUAUAUACACAACGGACGUUAAAAAUGAUGGAGUCACCUUUUUCAUCUCAUCUUGGAUGGAGCUUGAAAGAAACAUAUUAAGUCAUUGUGGGAGUUGGCUGAAAAAGCAAUAAUCCAUAAGGAGAAACCAGUCCGUCUCAAUUUGGGGUGGAGCGGAGAAGGAGGAAGGGGACACCCACCUAGCCAGCCAGACCAGUGGAAUCAAUCCUGACCAUAAUGGGGUGACAGAUGUUGCAACCAGAUCGCCCUCACAUCCGAAAUGACACUUUGGAAUGAAGACUACUGGACCUGAAGUCACUCAAAGCCCUGCCAGCUCUUAAGGAACUUUCACCAUCCUCCUUAACUUCCUAGAAUGAAAACUGUGAGUCUUACCCAAGCUCAAAGUUAUGACUUAAAAUAAACUUUUUAUUAGAGGAAUUUAUCCAUAUAACAGGCAAAGUACUUACUACACUGCUUCUGUUAUCAUUUUGUAAGUCACCCCUCUUCUUCAAGUGAGUACUCCUCUCUCCUUAAAAUCCUAUACCUAUAUCUCAUUUCUUUUUUAGUGUUUUAUUUAUUUUAUUUAGAGAGAG